rnacentral:rRNA from 1 species
GAUAAACGCUGGCGGCGCACAUAAGACAUGCAAGUCGAACGGACUUAACUCGAAGUUUACUUUGAGAGCGGUUAGUGGCGGACUGGUGAGUAACGCGUGAGCAACCUGCCUACUAGAGGGGAAUAACAGUGAGAAAUCACUGCUAAUACCGCAUAAGCGCACAGUGCUGCAUGGCACAGUGUGAAAAACUCCGGUGGUAUGAGAUGGACCCGCGUCUGAUUAGCUAGUUGGUGGGGUAACGGCCUACCAAGGCGACGAUCAGUAGCCGGCCUGAGAGGGUGAACGGCCACAUUGGGACUGAGACACGGCCCAA